rnacentral:rRNA from 1 species
GACGAACGCUGGCGGCGUGCUUAACACAUGCAAGUCGAACGGAAAGGCCUCUUUCGGGGGGUACUCGAGUGGCGAACGGGUGAGUAACACGUGAGUAACCUGCCCUUGACUUUGGGAUAACUUCUGGAAACUGGGGCUAAUACCGGAUAGGAGCUCCUGCUGCAUGGUGGGGGUUGGAAAGUUUCGGCGGUUGGGGAUGGACUUGCGGCUUAUCAGCUUGUUGGUGGGGUAUUGGCUUACCAAGGCUUUGGCGGGUAGCCGGCCUGGGAGGGUGACCGGCCACAUUGGGACUGAGAUACGGCCCAGACUCCUACGGGAGGCAGCAGUGGGGAAUAUUGCACAAUGGGUGGAAGCCUGAUGCAGCACCGCCGUGGGCGGGAUGACGGCCUUCGGGUUGUAAACCGCUUUCGCUCAUGACGAAGCUUUGUGUGACGGUAGUGGGUAAAGAAGCACCGGCUAACUACGUG